rnacentral:rRNA from 1 species
GACGAACGCUGGCGGCGUGCUUAACACAUGCAAGUCGAACGGAAAGGCCUUUUCGGAGGUACUCGAGUGGCGAACGGGUGAGUAACACGUGGGUGAUCUGCCCUGCACUCUGGGAUAGGCCUGGGAAACUGGGUCUAAUACCGGAUAGGACCGCACUCUAGUGUGUGUGGUGGAAAGUUUUUUCGGUGUAGGAUGAGCCCGCGGCCUAUCAGCUUGUUGGUGGGGUAAUGGCCUACCAAGGCGGCGACGGGUAGCCGGACUGGGAGGUUGGUCGGCCACAAUGGGGAUGGGGUAAGGCCCAGACUCCUUCGGGAGGCAAGAGUGGGGAAUAUUGCACAAUGGGCGCAAGCCUGAUGCAGCGACGCCGCGUGGGGGAUGACGGGCUUCGGGUUGUAAACUCCUUUCGCCAGGGACGAAGCGGUUUGUGACGGUACCGGGAGAAGAAGCACCGGCUAACUACGUG